UCCCCUUUAAUGCUGGUUUGACUGAAAAGACUUAAUGCAGAAGUUAGCAAAACAAAUGACAAACAAGUACAGCAAACAGCUCUGUCCUUUUUUAUUUGCCCUCAACUUCCUCUGAUGAGGAUUCAUUCACUACCUGACUUCCUUUCUUGGGUUUUGGCAUCUCAGUGUCCAGGUCAAAGCCCAUCAUGGUAGCUGUGGAGCGUUUAGGUUCUAUCAGGGAUGUACAUGCAAAUCGAUCCCUGACUGCAUUAUCAAGGUGUAUUAGUCCAACUCUGAGAAUUCGACACCGUAUAAUUGCAGUUGGAUGAACGUAUUCGCAUCAUACGUGUAUCCUAGGAGUCCAUUUUGAGUCAGACUGACAAUACUUUCUAACAUCAUGUAAAUACAGUGAUUGAGAAAAAAAUUAAUUAAAUCUGCAAAACUCAUACAUUUAAGAAAGUGCAUUUAAAACUGUAAAGUUACAGUUUUGAAUUUAAGUCAUUUUAAGGUUUCUGCUUUGUUUUCCCAGCUCUGGUGUCGUGUUGCCAUGAUGAAAAAUCCAGCCAAGUUGCUUUUUCUGUUGAAAAAGAAAGAAAGAAAAGGAUGACUUUCUGUUUACUGUCUUUUUUCUUCAUCCCUCCAUGGCUCCCUUGGGUUCCUCUUCCUCUCACUCAACACAUUAAUGGGUUAAACAGCUGAAGGCUGUGUGUGUUUUCACUGUGGUGAAGAUUUGUCUUGGGAGCUGUGGUUGGACUGGGAUAGGAUGUGGGAGGAGAGUGUGAGCAGAUAUCCAGCAGGAAAAACAGUGAGCAAGAGAAAGAUGAAAGGAUUUCUAAGGACAGGCAGAAGGAUGAAGCACGAGGCAUGACUGCAAAACAUACAUUUUUCCACUUGCUAUGUACAGAUUAAAAUUCCUCAACUUUGCCCA